GAAAAAUACUGCGCUUUAAAAAUCGCAGACAACUGAAACUGAUAAUGAAACGUCUCCUAACCAAAUACUUCACCAUAUUAAUGAUUAGAUGUGUAUACAAUUUUCUUUAUUGAAAUAACACUCCUUUUUCUGCUUUUAAUAGUAUUAGCCUCGGUUUAUGUAGCUCAUCAGCUGUAUGAAUCUGGUGGUUACAAAUGAAUUGAACUACUGUAGGAGCUGCUGUUAUAGAAGAUAUAUCAACACCUUCUGACCAAUCACACUAGAGAAUUCAAAUGCAUUGUGGUAUAAACUCGAGAUAUUCAACAUGUGUUCACCAGUUUGAAAAACAUCACGGAAACAUGUCAAAUUAAAUAUCACUUUUUUAUUAAGCAAAUUCACGUAUUCAACAGCAAAAAUAAAAUCCGUGUUUGAAUAUUUAAGAUGCUGUCUACUUUCUGUCACCUGAGACAAGCUUAACAAACAUAUCAUUCUAAAACAUCUUGGUUAAAUAAUGUUAGGAAAAACGGUUUUGAAUAAGUUAAGGUAUACUUACAGUAUAUUCACACUGUGUAAAAAAUAUGUAUUAGGGUUGAUGGCGAUGCAGAAACUUUUGUUUUGUAUCUAGAUAGAUAGAUAGAUAGAUAGAUAGAUAGAUAGAUAGAUAGAUAGAUAUAAUAUGUAUAUAUGCAUUUAAAUUUUUCCAGACUUUUUAUGUAUUGGUCAUUUUUGUUUAUUAGAAAAGGCCAAGUAUCAUGUGGUGCGACCGUCUGUACUUUAGUGCAAUUCUGAAAACUUCAGAUUGCUCGAAAUCCUUUUAGUUGUUGUUUUGCCAUAUAUAUGUUGCAUAAUUUCAAAAGUGUUUUGCAUUACUGACCAAAUGACUACAGUCAGUGCAAAUAUAGGACAUGAACAUACCGUACUGUGUAAAAGACAAACACCCUUGUACAACUUUUGUUAUAUAUUUUAUAUUUCCAAACAUAAUUUUUCAAACUAAAAAAUGAAAUGUUCCAGAAAAAUGUUUGUAUGUCAAUAAAGAAAGCAACAUACUAUAUAACAGACACAAUGAAGACUGCUGGGUUUAGCAGACCGAAGACUAGAAUUUUUUCUACAACAAAGUGCUUACAUGCCAAAUACUGACUUGGUUUUAUUUAUUACUGUUAACUGCUCUUUAUAAUAAUUAUUUGAUGUAGAAAUUAUAUUUCAUCAUUUUUCAAGGCAUCUGUGCUUUACAGAAUUUCUUUGCAUAUGUCUGCGACUUCUACACAGUGCUCUAAAUAUCAUGAACCUGAAUUAGAGUACUGUGAGUAAUUCAUAAAUAAUGCAUGUAUUCUACGGAUGUUACUGUACUUGUAAGGAAAUAUACUGUAUUAUAUGAAGGGAAAAUCAUGGUCGCACCACAUGAUCAUUUUGAACGCCAUGGCCGAUUAAUGCUGACGAAAAAGUCCUGAAUACACAAAAUUGCAUGUUUUCAUAUAAAUAGAUGUGUAUACCAUAUUCCACAAGUUUUAACAAUUGCCAAAUACACGAUUGUUAUAUUUUUUUGUAACUUGACUUUUCAGAGCACUUAUUCUUCAAAUCACCCAUUAACAUUUUACUUAAAUACAGAAAUAAACAAAGUCUGUGUCUUCAGUGCCAGGCGUAAUAAAUCAAGAAUUUCCACCAGACCCAAGGCGAAAUUAUAGACGUAUUCUUUCAGCAUUCCAACAAAUUUAAAAGUGAAAUCUUUAAAGUAAUUACAAUUUGAAUGUGAAAGGAUGAAAUGUUCAAAACUGCAAUAAUACUGCAAACUGUAGGAAAGGCCACAAUGCAGUUACUGUGAUGUAAAAAUGUAAUACCAGUGCACAACUAGAGUGACGGCAACUGUAAUCUUAAAAAGAUUGUUACAUCAAUGAAGGGAGGCAGGCAGACAGGCAAACAAACACACACACACACACACCCCUACCCAAACACACAUACACCACUUAACAACCUACAAGUCACACACUCAAACACACACCACUGUUAAAACACACUGACGACAACCCCAUACGCCCCUGAGACAAAAGAGAUGCC
ensembl:lncRNA